GGAGAGAUGGCUGAGUGGUUUAAAGCGAUAGACUGUAAAUCUAUUUAUAUUAAUAUAUAACCGUAGGUUCAAAUCCUACUUUCUCUA
rnacentral:tRNA from 1 species